AUGUUUAAAUUCUCCGGGCUAAAACACGUUACAAACAACAGCUGGAAUACAUUGCAUUUAUCGUUCUUUCGGUUUAUUAUAAAAUGGCGUCUUACACCCGACCAGUAAAAAAAAGGAUGGGUAAACGAUCGAGCGCCAUCUUAUAAUUCGUUGGAGGGCGUAACAUAAACGUUCAUUUGAUAUUUCAAUAGUAAAAAGGCAACUGCUACGUCCUACUUGACUACCGACAAAAAGAGAUAAGCUAUCGAUGUGUUAGAUCGAUGACCUUGUCCUAUCAUUUGAUUAUUUUCAAACUAACAUUCAUAUGUGAUUGUUUUCAAAGUGAAACGCCUUUUCUGAAUUAUGGAGUAAAACGUAUGUAAUGAUCGAAGUUCUUGUCUAUUUAUGUCUCAAUGACUUCGUAAACAGCGGUCAACCGACAUAAAAUUAUCACGUAUUAAUGAUUAUAUAAUUGAUAACUAAUAAACGAUAAGAAAGAGAAUAAUAGCACAUCGGAAAUACAAUGGUCGAUGUAGUCAUAAAUAGUGAUAAAAUCACGACAACGACGAUGCAACAAUCAAAAACAAUGAUAAAUAAUAAAGAAAUGUAUUUACAUCUUCCAAAAUUUUUGAAGAAAUAACGUACGUCCUUCAAAACGAAAUAUAUUUGGAGAGAAUAAUUAAAAUAAGAUAAGCCAAAUUUUUUAACAUCUCUAUCUGUAAAGCUUUAUCUUACUAAAAGGACACUAAGUUUUUGUUUUUUCAGACGAAGAAGGACCGGAAUUUACGAAAGAAUGAAGGAAAGAAAGAAAGAAGUACGUGAAUUUUCAUUUUCCCUUGGACUUGGGAUAUAUCCAUGAUAGAGGUACCGUUAGUACGACCCUCGAAAGCUUCGAAAAGGGAAAGGAUUUUCGUUCGAAGUAGUACGAAAUAAAGCUUGUCGUGAAACUGGACGUGUACGUGCAUGCGUAUAUGCGCGCGUGCAUGCGUGCGUAAGCUGUUGGGUGAGAGAGAAGGAGAGGGAGGAGAUAGGGAAGGGUAGAAGGGAGGAAACAGAGGGACAGAGGAGACGCGUCGUAGACAUAAGCGAGAACGGAAGAUGAGGAAGGAGGGUGAAACGCGAGGAAAACGAGGGCUGCCGGAAAGUGGGGUGAAGAGUAGGGAGUAGGGAGAGGACUCUGCACCGCGACGCUACGGGGUGGUUGCCCUCGUCUGCGCUUUGUGGGAAAUGCCCGUUCAAUAACGCGUAGGUCCUCGUCUGCCCCUUCUCACCCUCGGAAUCAUCGUGGCAAGGGCCACUGCCCCAAAAGGCACGACUACACCCGUCGAUUUACCCUUAUCCUAUCUUCUUCCUUUCUCUCCCUUCUAUCUUCUCCACCCUCCACUCUCUUUCCUUCUUCGACAGCUUCGACUACUAUCUACCUAUCUACCUAUCUACCCCCAGUCUUCGUUUCUCUGCUUCUACCGAACGAAUCGCCCCCAACGCGUUCGAAAAGGUCGUACCUUGCCCUUACUCUUUCUCUCUCUCCCGUUUUCUCUUUCUUUUUAUCUCAUUCUUCUCUCGCAAUAUAUUUUACACUGACCGUAACAGGACGAAGCAACCUGCAUCGACCCGUUCCGAUCUUGUACAUUGGAAUUAUUGUAAAUGCAUCUUAUUCGAUCGCCAUGGUAACGACCCUCUAUCUUCUAUUUUUACGAGCCCAGGCUAUAACGUCUUGGAAACUUGAGCUUUCAUCUUUUCAUUCUAAAAGAAAGUUAAAUUGAAAUCAUUCAAAUAUCUAUGCUAAUAGACAGCUUUAACCAAUGAAUUUCAUAAUUUAGACGGUAAAAGCUAGAAAAUCGAUCUUUAUCGAUCAUGAUAUAAAGAGACAAUUGAAUAGGAUAAAAUAGAAUAGGAUAUUCUAUGUUUAUUAUUGAUGAGAGUUAUAUAAUUUUUUAUGUAUCUACAUAUAGCAAUGAUUUUUGCUUAGAUCUGUAACAUUCUAUAUCGUGCGCGGUAUCGUACAAAAAAUAAGAGACGCGAUUACGGUUUCCGUAGCGGAUGCCAUAACGGUGCAUUCAGGGUCUAUCGGAUCAAUAAGUGUUCUUCUUUUCUUGUAAAACGCAUUUCUCUCUAAAAAUUCUUUACCUUUUCCGAAUAAGUAAAUCAUCGGUUCUCAUAGAUAAAUUCAAUUGAAUGGUUAGAAAGAUAUAUUCGAAAUGACUUAAAUCAAUAAAUUAUAUAUAUAUAUA